rnacentral:rRNA from 1 species
UGGGGAAUAUUGGACAAUGGGCGCAAGCCUGAUCCAGCCAUGCCGCGUGUGUGAAGAAGGCCUUUUGGUUGUAAAGCACUUUAAGCGAGGAGGAGGCUACUUGGAUUAAUACUGUAGGAUAGUGGACGUUACUCGCAGAAUAAGCACCGGCUAACUCUGUGCCAGCAGCCGCGGUAAUACAGAGGGUGCGAGCGUUAAUCGGAUUUACUGGGCGUAAAGCGUGCGUAGGCGGCUUCUUAAGUCGGAUGUGAAAUCCCUGAGCUUAACUUAGGAAUUGCAUUCGAUACUGGGAAGCUAGAGUAUGGGAGAGGAUGGUAGAAUUCCAGGUGUAGCGGUGAAAUGCGUAGAGAUCUGGAGGAAUACCGAUGGCGAAGGCAGCCAUCUGGCCUAAUACUGACGCUGAGGUACGAAAGCAUGGGGAGCAAACAGG